rnacentral:lncRNA from 1 species
AUCCACUUUCUGUCUACUUGCUCUGCUAAUUAUUGAGAGACCAGCCUGGGCAACAAAGUGAGACACCAUCUCUACAAAAAAUCAAAAACUCACCCAUCCAUGGCAGCGCAUGCCUGCAAUCCUAGCUACUUGGGAGGCUGAGGCAGGAGGAUUUCUUGAGCCCAGGAAGUCAAGGCUGCAGUGAGCCGUGAUUGUGCCAUUGCAUUUGAGCCUGGGUGGCAGAGCAAGACCCUGUCUCAAACAAACAAAUUCUUGAUAGCGGUGUUGAAACCUCUGACUGUAAUUGCAGAUUUGUCUGUAAUUUUUCCUUGCAGCUCUAUCAGCUUUUGCUUCAUGUGUUUUGAGACUCUGUGCUCACAUCGUGCAUGCUCCUGACUGGUUGACCCCUGUGUCAUCAUGAAAUGACCCUCUUUAUCCCUAGACUCUGACUUGAAAUUGACUCCUGCUUUCCUUUGAUUAGUUUAGCAUGGGAUAUCUUCUUUUACCUUGUUACUUUUUACCUAGUGUGUCUUAUACUUAAAUUAGCUUCAUUGGAGAUUUCCAUAGGAUCAAAGUAUCUGCUUUGACAUAUUUAUUAACCUAAAAAAGUAAUAACAGCUUUUCAGUGCAGAAACCACCUUAUCUAUGUGACAAAGCUCGGGCCAUCAGUGGCAAGGUAGAUUGGCAUCACGUACCUUUGAUACAACAACCUGAGAAGGACGUCACUUCUGCGAUAUUCCUGCCAAAAAUGCAUCUCCGCAUUCCGAUCGUGAGAACAUCCUGGGCACACCCAAACUGAGAGACACCAUACAAAGUGACUGGUCAGUGCACUCAAAGGCAAAAAGCUCAUGGAAGGCAACAGAAGACAGGAGAAGUGACAGCUAAAAGCAGCGUGGAAUCCUGGAAGGGACAAAGAACACGAGCAGAGAAACUGUAGAAGCUGAGUGAGGGCAGCGGUCCAGCUUGCGCUGUUUUGCUGGGGUGAUUCUGGCUUUGAUGACCUUGUUUUGAGCCUCAGGUUUUCCUUAGGAUUCCGUGUGUGUUCCCCGCCUGGCCCCUCCGCAGCGACUCUGCUGUCAGUGGCUGCCCCAGGGUGGAGAGUGACCUACCUCCGGCUUCUCCUGUCCCGGCUUCUCCUGUGCCAGCCGGUCAGGCACACUGACAAACUUAGCCUUCCGUUCUGUUGGUCUGUGAUGACCGUUUCCACGUCCUGCUUUCUGAGAGCAUUUGCCUGGUGUAGACGUCCCCGUUUUCAGCGGUUAUGCGUCCCUCUAGUUUCGGUGAUGCCCUGAGGUUUACUUCCUGCAUUUUUAAGCCCACGUUUCCCCAGCACUCAUGUGUGGCCAGCGUCUGAUUCUUCCUCCAGAGCAAGACAGGGAAGCCACUGCACUUCAGCUGCCUUCACAAGUCUCCUCUGCCACCCCCGCUGAGGCCGUCUGGAAGUUUAAUUCUAGGCUAUUAUUAAAUUUCUAUAAAAUUGUUUCAACUUUACUGAGAUAUAAUUCACAAAUAGGAAUUGUGUAUAGUUAAGGUGUAUGACUUGAUGUUCUGAUACACGCUGUGAAUGAUCACUGCAGUCAAGCUAUUUCACAUGCUCACACCUCACAGUGACUACCAAGUUGGUGAAAAGAGUAACUGCGGUGUUUGCAAUUAGAAGCAAUUAUUUUUGCACCAACCUAAAAUAUUUUCUUUUUUUUUUUUUUUUUGUCGCCCAGCCUGGACUGCCGUGGUGAAAUCUUGGCUCACUGCAGCCUCUGCUUCCCAGGUUCAAUCAAUCUUGCCACCUCAGCCUCCCCAGUAGCUGGGACUAUGGGCACGUGCCACCAUGUCCAGCUAGUUUUUUUUGUUUUUUUUUUUUUUUGUAUUUUUAGUAGAGAUGGGGUUUCGCCAUGUUGCCCAGACUGGUCUUGAACUCCUGGCCUCAAGUGAUCCACCCACCGUCGGCCUCCCAAAGUGCUGGGAUUACAGGCAUGAGCCACCGCACCAGCUUCUUUUAUUUUCUUUGUGUGUGUUGAGAACACUUAAGAUCUAUCCUCUCAGCCCAUGUCCAGCAUCCAGUACAGCAUUGUUAACCAUGGCCACCUAGGACAGCGCUCCCCAGAAACUGAAUUUGCCAGCACCUUGAUCGUGGACUUCCAGCCUCCAGAACAGCGAGAAGAAUCGCUUCUAGGUUUUGACCAGCCGGCCUGUGGCAUUUUGCUACAACAGCCUGGGCAGCCUGCAGUGCUCUGUGCUUUGUUCUCUUUCAUUUUGUUUUGUUUUCUGUAAUUCACCUUUGAGAAACUCGUUCAGGAAGGAUGCAUGGGUGACAUUUUCUGCAUCCUCACAUUUUGUCACUGGGUGUGGCCGGGUCUGUGAGUCUAGACACAAAGCCAGUCACCUGGGGACGCUGCCACCUGAAGGCCUGCGUGGCCGGGUCUGUGACUGUAGACACAAAGCCAGUCACCUGGGGACGCUGCCACCUGAAGGCCUGCGUGGCCGGGUCUGUGACUCUAGACAAAAAGCCAGUCACCUGGGAACUCUGGGACACCCUCUUCUCUCACCCAUUGCUGUGGGGAAGCCUGGGGAUGGGUUUUCUUGUUUUGGUUUUUUAUCAUGUUGGUGUUUUGUUUUGUUUUUUUUUUGAGAUGGAGUUUCCCUCUUGUCUCCCAGGCUAGAGUGCAAUGGCGUGAUCUCGGCUCACUGCAACCUCCGCCUCCUGGGUUCAAGCGAUUCUCCUGCCUCAGCCUCCUGAGUAGCUGGGAUUACAGGCAUGCACCACCACGCCUGGCUAAUUUUUGUAUUUUUAGUAGAGACGGGGUUUCACCAUGUUGGUCAGGCUGGUCCCGAACUCCUGACUUCAGGUGAUCCACGCACCUCGGCCUCCCAAAGUGCUGAGAUUACAAGCAUGAGCCAUCGCACCCAGCCCAUAGUGGUUUUUAAAUCUUUCCUUUUGCCCUCAUUGUUCUAAAAUUUUAUGAAGAUGAAGACAUAUCUCGUGUCUCAUUCACGGAGAGCCGAUUCUGUAACAGCCGCUGCUCUGGGCGCCGGGAGAAACCGUGAGGAGCAGGCAGAGCUUCCGUCGCGGGGCCCACAGGGCCCAGGUGUGCAUUAUUUCCCUCCCAUCAAUCCUGUUCUUCUUCUGAAACUCUCAGUGUGCAGAUGUUGGAAUGUCUGGCUUCGUCCUCCAUUUCCUUUUUUUUUUUUUUCAUACUUUCCCUCUAUCUCGCUCUGCUGUGUACAAAAAAACUUGGGCAUUUUCAAGUACAAAGCAAAGGAAGCAAUAAAGCAUCCCCAGAUAUUUGAGGAAAGCUGACAUCACAAAGUGGAGAAUUCCUUGACUGUGUGUUCCAGGCACAAGUUCGUUCUUCAGCCUUUUCUUCCUGUUAUUCACCCCAUCACUUUUUAAUUUUUUUUGGAUGUCACAUUUUUCAUAUUUAUAUUUUCAGUUCCGUUUUUAAGGCUGUAUCUUCUCUAUGGAUAAAUAAACCUGUGAAGACGUACUGCCCUUUUCUCGAGGGUGUUGUUUGCUCUGCUUCCUUGAUACCUGCUGACUUUGGGGGCCCCUUUUUGGUAGUGAUUGGUUUUCCUCAAACAUUUGAUGGUUCUGGGUUGUCUAGUGAUUCCAUGAAAAUUGGUUGGCUGCAUAUUUAACCAAUUUUAGGUUAAAAUUGGUUGGCACCCAAAAUAACAGUGGCUUUAACACACAGUAUUCCCUUCUCACAUAAGAAAGGACUCUGGAGGGCGGGGCCCUAAAGAGCCUGUCACCUCCCACUCCACCACACCCGGCGGGUGCCUCAUCCUCAUGGCCCCAGAAGGC